GCCUUCGUGGUGUAGUGGUCUGCAUGCUCGACACGUAUUCCAGAGGCCCGUGGUUCGAGUCCUGGUGAAGGCG
rfam:Stegodyphus mimosarum contig113327, whole genome shotgun sequence.